rnacentral:rRNA from 1 species
GGGUUGUGAGGUUAAGCGACUAAGCGUACACGGUGGAUGCCCUGGCAGUCAGAGGCGAUGAAGGGCGUGCUAAUCUGCGAUAAGCGCCGGUAAGGUGAUAUGAACCGUUAUAACCGGCGAUACCCGAAUGGGGAAACCCAGUGUGACUCGUCACACUAUCAUUAACUGAAUCCAUAGGUUAAUGAGGCGAACCGGGGGAACUGAAACAUCUAAGUACCCCGAGGAAAAGAAAUCAACCGAGAUUCCCCCAGUAGCGGCGAGCGAACGGGGAGGAGCCCAGAGCCUGAAUCAGCAUGUGUGUUAGUGGAAGCGUCUGGAAAGGCGCGCGAUACAGGGUGACAGCCCCGUACACAAAAGCGCAUGUGCUGUGAGCUCGAUGAGUAGGGCGGGACACGUGGUAUCCUGUCUGAAUAUGGGGGGACCAUCCUCCAAGGCUAAAUACUCCUGACUGACCGAUAGUGAACCAGUACCGUGAGGGAAAGGCGAAAAGAACCCCGGCGAGGGGAGUGAAAAAGAACCUGAAACCGUGUACGUACAAGCAGUGGGAGCCCCACCACUAAGCCAGUGGUGAACUCCACAUACGCAUCCUUUGCUGAGGAUACGGUUAACGGAGCGAAAGCGACGUUCAACCGCAAAAGAAGCAGAGGGGGCUUAGUGGUGGGGUGACUGCGUACCUUUUGUAUAAUGGGUCAGCGACUUAUAUUCUGUAGCAAGGUUAACCGAAUAGGGGAGCCGGAGGGAAACCGAGUCUUAAUUGGGCGUUAAGUUGCAGGGUAUAGACCCGAAACCCGGUGAUCUAGCCAUGGGCAGGUUGAAGGUUGGGUAACACUAACUGGAGGACCGAACCGACUAAUGUUGAAAAAUUAGCGGAUGACCUGUGGCUGGGGGUGAAAGGCCAAUCAAACCGGGAGAUAGCUGGUUCUCCCCGAAAGCUAUUUAGGUAGCGCCUCGUGAAUUCAUCUCCGGGGGUAGAGCACUGUUUCGGCUAGGGGGCCAUCCCGGCUUACCAACCCGAUGCAAACUGCGAAUACCGGAGAAUGUUAUCACGGGAGACACACGGCGGGUGCUAACGUCCGUCGUGAAGAGGGAAACAACCCAGACCGCCAGCUAAGGUCCCAAAGUCAUGGUUAAGUGGGAAACGAUGUGGGAAGGCCCAGACAGCCAGGAUGUUGGCUUAGAAGCAGCCAUCAUUUAAAGAAAGCGUAAUAGCUCACUGGUCGAGUCGGCCUGCGCGGAAGAUGUAACGGGGCUAAACCAUGCACCGAAGCUGCGGCAGCGAACGUAUCACUUAAAGCGAUUCAGCGGAUGACGAUUGACGGAGCGAAGCGACGUCAAAGCGUAUACAAAGUCGAGUCGGUUUAAGGAUACGUUCGUUGGGUAGGGGAGCGUUCUGUAAGCCUGCGAAGGUGGCCUGUGAGGGUUGCUGGAGGUAUCAGAAGUGCGAAUGCUGACAUAAGUAACGAUAAAGCGGGUGAAAAGCCCGCUCGCCGGAAGACCAAGGGUUCCUGUCCAACGUUAAUCGGGGCAGGGUGAGUCGACCCCUAAGGCGAGGCCGAAAGGCGUAGUCGAUGGGAAACGGGUUAAUAUUCCCGUACUUGGUGUUACUGCGAAGGGGGGACGGAGAAGGCUAUGUUGGCCGGGCGACGGUUGUCCCGGUUUAAGCGUGUAGGUGUGUGUUCCAGGUAAAUCCGGUUCACUUUAACACUGAGGCGUGACGACGAGGCACUACGGUGCUGAAGCAACAAAUGCCCUGCUUCCAGGAAAAGCCUCUAAGCAUCAGGUAACAUCAAAUCGUACCCCAAACCGACACAGGUGGUCAGGUAGAGAAUACCAAGGCGCUUGAGAGAACUCGGGUGAAGGAACUAGGCAAAAUGGUGCCGUAACUUCGGGAGAAGGCACGCUGACAUGUAGGUGAAGUGAUUUACUCACGGAGCUGAAGUCAGUCGAAGAUACCAGCUGGCUGCAACUGUUUAUUAAAAACACAGCACUGUGCAAACACGAAAGUGGACGUAUACGGUGUGACGCCUGCCCGGUGCCGGAAGGUUAAUUGAUGGGGUCAGCGCAAGCGAAGCUCCUGAUCGAAGCCCCGGUAAACGGCGGCCGUAACUAUAACGGUCCUAAGGUAGCGAAAUUCCUUGUCGGGUAAGUUCCGACCUGCACGAAUGGCGUAAUGAUGGCCAGGCUGUCUCCACCCGAGACUCAGUGAAAUUGAACUCGCUGUGAAGAUGCAGUGUACCCGCGGCAAGACGGAAAGACCCCGUGAACCUUUACUAUAGCUUGACACUGAACAUUGAGCCUUGAUGUGUAGGAUAGGUGGGAGGCUUUGAAGUGUGGACGCCAGUCUGCAUGGAGCCAACCUUGAAAUACCACCCUUUAAUGUUUGAUGUUCUAACGUGGACCCGUGAUCCGGGUUGCGGACAGUGUCUGGUGGGUAGUUUGACUGGGGCGGUCUCCUCCUAAAGAGUAACGGAGGAGCACGAAGGUUGGCUAAUCCUGGUCGGACAUCAGGAGGUUAGUGCAAUGGCAUAAGCCAGCUUGACUGCGAGCGUGACGGCGCGAGCAGGUGCGAAAGCAGGUCAUAGUGAUCCGGUGGUUCUGAAUGGAAGGGCCAUCGCUCAACGGAUAAAAGGUACUCCGGGGAUAACAGGCUGAUACCGCCCAAGAGUUCAUAUCGACGGCGGUGUUUGGCACCUCGAUGUCGGCUCAUCACAUCCUGGGGCUGAAGUAGGUCCCAAGGGUAUGGCUGUUCGCCAUUUAAAGUGGUACGCGAGCUGGGUUUAGAACGUCGUGAGACAGUUCGGUCCCUAUCUGCCGUGGGCGCUGGAGAACUGAGGGGGGCUGCUCCUAGUACGAGAGGACCGGAGUGGACGCAUCACUGGUGUUCGGGUUGUCAUGCCAAUGGCACUGCCCGGUAGCUAAAUGCGGAAGAGAUAAGUGCUGAAAGCAUCUAAGCACGAAACUUGCCCCGAGAUGAGUUCUCCCUGAGACUUAGAGUCUCCUGAAGGAACGUUGAAGACGACGACGUUGAUAGGCCGGGUGUGUAAGCGCAGCGAUGCGUUGAGCUAACCGGUACUAAUGAACCGUGAGGCUUAACCUUACAACGCCGAAG